UGUAAUGAUAGGCCGCACAAACUGGCGUUUCCUUAAUUGGAAGUUAGCCAACCUCGGCACUUGAGUUUGUGGAUUCCCAGUCCCCAUUUCGAUGCCGAGAUGUUCAGGGGCUCCCUACCCUACGUAAAGGGUAGGGUCAAAGUGGAUUGACAGUGACUUGAUCCCAAAAGAAAAGUUUAUGAAAGCGAGUCAGUGUGUGAGCUCUCUUUUUUACUAUUAUUUUUUUGGUUACAGAUCAUCUCCCAUCUUUAAAUCCCUCUUUUUUUCUUCUUCUCAGUUUUUCAAUUUCAUUCUCAUAUUAUUAAUUUAGUCUCCAUGUGGAAGGUAUGAAUGGAAUGUUUUCAAAAUAUGUUUUAGACAGAUCGCUUGGCAAGAUCAGCAACUGCUGCAUUCUCUUUCUGGACAUAGACAAAAUCCAAUGUAACGUGUCAAUGGUCAUGCUCCUACUGUACACCAAGAUUAUUCAUUAAUAAUGACUUGUGACUUGUCUAUAUAUUAAUUUGAAACUAUUCAUGGAGAUUAAUAUUUGAUCUUGCACAUCCCCUUUAUACAA